CACGUAGGGGGCAAGCGUGUCCGGAUUUAUUGGGCGUAAAGAGCUCGUAGGCGGUUCGGUAAGUCGGGUGUGAAACCUCCAGGCUCAACCUGGAGACGCCACCCGAUACUGCUGUGACUCGAGUCCGGUAGGGGAGCGUGGAAUUCCUGGUGUAGCGGUGAAAUGCGCAGAUAUCAGGAGGAACACCAGCGGCGAAGGCGGCGCUCUGGGCCGGAACUGACGCUGAGGAGCGAAAGCGUGGGUAGCAAACAGG
rnacentral:rRNA from 1 species